UAAAGCGUGCGUAGGCGGCUGAUUAAGUCGGAUGUGAAAUCCCUGAGCUUAACUUAGGAAUUGCAUUCGAUACUGGUCAGCUAGAGUAUGGGAGAGGAUGGUAGAAUUCCAGGUGUAGCGGUGAAAUGCGUAGAGAUCUGGAGGAAUACCGAUGGCGAAGGCAGCCAUCUGGCCUAAUACUGACGCUGAGGUACGAAAGCAUGGGGAGCAAACAGGAUUAGAUACCCUGGUAGUCCAUGCCGUAAACGAUGUCUACUAGCCGUUGGGGUCUUUGAGACUUUAGUGGCGCAGCUAACGCGAUAAGUAGACCGCCUGAGGAGUACGGUCGCAAGACUAAAACUCAAAUGAAUUGACGGGGGCCCGCACAAGCGGUGGAGCAUGUGGUUUAAUUCGAUGCAACGCGAAGAACCUGUACCUGGUUCUUGACAUAGUAGAAACUUUCCAGAGAUGGAUUGGUGCCUUCGGGAAUCUACAUACAGGUGCUGCAUGGCUGUCGUCAGCUCGUGUCGUGAGAUGUUGGGUUAAGUCCCGCAACGAGCGCAACCCUUUUCCUUAUUUGCCAGCACUUUGGGUGGGAACUUUAAGGAUACUGCCAGUGACAAACUGGAGGAAGGCGGGGACGACGUCAAGUCAUCAUGGCCCUUACGACCAGGGCUACACACGUGCUACAAUGGUUGGUACAAAGGGUUGCUACACAGCGAUGUGAUGCUAAUCUCAAAAAGCCAAUCGUAGUCCGGAUUGGAGUCUGCAACUCGACUCCAUGAAGUCGGAAUCGC
rnacentral:rRNA from 1 species